rnacentral:rRNA from 1 species
AGGAUCAUUACUGAGUUGUCGACACGAGCUGUUGCUGGUNNNCAAAACAAGGGGACAUGUGCACGCUCUGUUUGCACAUNNANUCACACCUGUGCACCCCCCGUAGUUCUAUGGUCUGGAGGACUUGCCGUCUUCUUCCUGUAGUUCUACGUCUUUACACACACACCUUAGCAAAGUCUUAUGGAAUGUGCGCAGCGUUUAACGCAAUAAAAUACAACUUUCAGCAACGGAUCUCUUGGCUCUCGCAUCGAUGAAGAACGCAGCGAAAUGCGAUAAGUAAUGUGAAUUGCAGAAUUCAGUGAAUCAUCGAAUCUUUGAACGCACCUUGCGCCUCUUGGCUAUUCCGAGGGGCAUGCCUGUUUGAGUAUCAUGAACACCUCAACUCUCACGGUUUGCCCGUGAUGAGCUUGGACCUCUGGAGGUUUUGCUGGCCUGUGGUCGGCUCCUCUCAAAUGGAUCAGCUUACCAGUGUUUGGUGGCGUCAUGGGUGUGAUAACUAUCUACGCUUGUGGUCGUCUGCCAGGUAUAACCUUCAGCGAUGGAGGUCUGCUGGGGCUUACAAAUGUCUUUCCUCAGUGAAGACAGCAUUUUGAACGUUCGAUCUCAGAUCAGGUAGGACUACCCGCUGAACUUAAG